UACGUAGGGUGCAAGCGUUAAUCGGAAUUACUGGGCGUAAAGCGUGCGCAGGCGGUUGUGCAAGACAGAUGUGAAAUCCCCGGGCUUAACCUGGGAAUUGCAUUUGUGACUGCACAGCUAGAGUGUGUCAGAGGGGGGUAGAAUUCCACGUGUAGCAGUGAAAUGCGUAGAUAUGUGGAGGAAUACCGAUGGCGAAGGCAGCCCCCUGGGAUAACACUGACGCUCAUGCACGAAAGCGUGGGGAGCAAACGGG
rnacentral:rRNA from 1 species